rnacentral:lncRNA from 1 species
UACGUGGCUGAAUUAUGAGAAAAUCACAUUAACUUCUUCUGAAAUUGGCAACUUAGAGAUGAGGAGUUUUGACAUGGAAGUAUGAAGAAAAGGUAGAUUUAAAAGAAAAAAUACUGAAGAGGAAUGCAGGAUGAAAAUGAAGAGUUUGAGACUCAAGAAUGGUGGGAAAUGAGAAGAAAGGGCUAUCAGGAUCUGUAGACAUCAAAUCAAAUCAAGUUUACAAAUGUUUGUUCAGCCACCUCUAAAUACUAAGAAACAGCUGUGCGGAGGUCAAGUAGAAAGAACACUGGGAGAAGAAACUGCAGAAAUUGACUACAAAUCCCAGGAUUUCCAACCACAUCUGUAGCUGGAAAUUUCCUGACAAGGGCACAACUUUUACAGAAUCUUUAUUUUUUUUCUUCCUCCAAACUGAUACUGCCUCUGGUACUCCUUUGGGAAUGAACUUUGGCAACUCUUUGACUUUGUCUAGCUCCUCAUUCAGAGCAAUUUCCCAGGAAGAUGCUUAAUGAUUGAAUGUAUUACUGUUUCAAAAAGGCAUUAAAAUGGAAGACCCUAAACUCUCAAAAAGCAGACUUGUGAAUUGUAAUGAAAUGUUUGUUCAAGCUUUUGCUU